GAGCCUUCCUUUUAUGCUCGAAAAAGCAGCCCACGUGAUGACUGACUUCAGGGCGGUCCGCCCCCUCCUCCUCGUCUCUAAAAUUGCAUGGAGCUACGUCCGAGGCAGAUGCUGACAGAUUGAUGCUAAAAACCUGGGCCCUAGACACCCCAAUUUCUGGAUAACUUGGCUACUGGAUGAUCCCUGCAUCCUGUCUCCCACCGUUCUCGGCUACUUCCGGAGGUUUUUGCUACAAGGCGCUUGCGCUCAACAGAAGGACUGAGACAGAUAAACAGAAAGCGAGAAAUCACCUCCCAGAGGGG